rnacentral:rRNA from 1 species
UUGCUCUCGGGUGACGAGCGGCGGACGGGUGAGUAAUGUCUGGGAAACUGCCUGAUGGAGGGGGAUAACUACUGGAAACGGUAGCUAAUACCGCAUAACGUCGCAAGACCAAAGUGGGGGACCUUCGGGCCUCAUGCCAUCAGAUGUGCCCAGAUGGGAUUAGCUAGUAGGUGGGGUAAUGGCUCACCUAGGCGACGAUCCCUAGCUGGUCUGAGAGGAUGACCAGCCACACUGGAACUGAGACACGGUCCAGACUCCUACGGGAGGCAGCAGUGGGGAAUAUUGCACAAUGGGCGCAAGCCUGAUGCAGCCAUGCCGCGUGUAUGAAGAAGGCCUUCGGGUUGUAAAGUACUUUCAGCGAGGAGGAAGGCGAUAAGGUUAAUAACCUUGUCGAUUGACGUUACUCGCAGAAGAAGCACCGGCUAACUCCGUGCCAGCAGCCGCGGUAAUACGGAGGGUGCGAGCGUUAAUCGGAAUUACUGGGCGUAAAGCGCACGCAGGCGGUCUGUCAAGUCGGAUGUGAAAUCCCCGGGCUCAACCUGGGGAACUGCAUCCGAAACUGGCAGGCUAGAGUCUUGUAGAGGGGGGUAGAAUUCCAGGUGUAGCGGUGAAAUGCGUAGAGAUCUGGAGGAAUACCGGUGGC